UACGUAGGUGGCAAGCGUUGUCCGGAAUUAUUGGGCGUAAAGCGCGCGCAGGCGGUCUUUUAAGUCUGAUGUGAAAGCCCACGGCUCAACCGUGGAAGGUCAUUGGAAACUGGAAGACUUGAGUGCAGAAGAGAAGAGCGGAAUUCCACGUGUAGCGGUGAAAUGCGUAGAGAUGUGGAGGAACACCAGUGGCGAAGGCGGCGACCUGGACAGAUAUUGACGCUGAGGUGCGAAAGCGUGGGGAGCAAACAGG
rnacentral:rRNA from 1 species